UGAGGAAUAUUGGUCAAUGGGCGAGAGCCUGAACCAGCCAAGUAGCGUGCAGGACGACGGCCCUAUGGGUUGUAAACUGCUUUUGCGCGGGGAUAAAGUGCACCACGUGUGGCUCAUUGCAGGUACCGCGCGAAUAAGGACCGGCUAAUUCCGUGCCAGCAGCCGCGGUAAUACGGAAGGUCCGGGCGUUAUCCGGAUUCAUUGGGUUUAAAGGGAGCGCAGGCCGCCCCUUAAGCGUGUUGUGAAAUGCCGCGGCUCAACCGUGGCACUGCAGCGCGAACUGGGGGGCUUGAGUGCGCGCAGCGCAGGCGGAACUCGCGGUGUAGCGGUGAAAUGCAUAGAUAUCACUCAGAACACCGAUUGCGAAGGCAUCUCACAAAUCCGCAAUUGACGCUGAGGCACGAAAGCGUGGGGAUCGAACAGGAUUAGAUACCCUGGUAGU
rnacentral:rRNA from 1 species